rnacentral:rRNA from 1 species
AAAUGAAUUGACGGGGGCCCGCACAAGCAGCGGAGCGUGUGGUUUAAUUCGAGGCUACACGAAAAACCUUACCUGGGUUUGACAUCCUGCGAACGACCGUGAAAGCGGAAGGUCCUUCGGGACGCAGAGACAGGUGCUGCAUGGCUGUCGUCAGCUCGUGUCGUGAGAUGUUCGGUUAAGUCCGAAAACGAGCGCAACCCUCGGUGCGUGUUACAAGUGUCACGCACAACUGCCGGCGGCAAGCCGGAGGAAGGUGGGGAUGACGUCAAGUCAGCAUGGCCUUUAUAUCCAGGGCUACACACACGCUACAAUGGACGGUACAGUGGGUCGCGAAGCCGCGAGGUGGAGCCAAUCCUAAAAAGCCGUUCGUAGUUCGGAUUGUAGGCUGCAACUCGCCUGCAUGAAGCUGGAGUUGCUAGUAACCGUGUAUCAGCAUGACACGGUGAAUACGUUCCCGGGCCUUGUACACACCGCCCGU